rnacentral:tRNA from 1 species
AGGGAAGUGGCGUAACGGUAGCGUAUCUGGCUGUUAAUCAGAAGGUGUGAGUUCGACCCUCACCUUCCCUG